rnacentral:misc_RNA from 1 species
CCCUGGCUUCCCAUGUUGAAGAUAUGGAGAAGUUGCUGCAUAUCUUCAUUUUCAAGCAUCUCAUGACUUCUCAUUCGAAUCUCCUCCUCUUGGAAGAAAUCCUCAGCUCCCCUGUAAGAAGUAAGGUUUGGUGUACAGACACCUUGGAAGCUUGAUGUUGAUGAAUGUGGUGGAGCAAGCGCCAGCAAAUUGUCACUUCUUUGAAAUUGGGCAUGCUGUGAUGUACUGACAAGAGGAUUUUGUAGAGGUAAUGAAGUGGCAUCAAAUUGAAAAGGCGUGUUUGGAUUUCCAUUAUGUGAUUGCAAUGAGAAUCUUGCAGCCAUACUAUCAUUGUAACCUCCAACAGAUGGACCUGAGUCCAUAGAAGGCUGCUCUGUAGGCACUGGAACUGAUAGAGUAGGCAACGUAACCUGAUGCUCAUAAGAGCUCAAAAAAUCUUGUUGACCAGCAGGCAGGUCAGAUUGGGAAGAAGCAAUGUUCUGAUUCUGCUUGAAGUCUAGAAGUGUUUUGCCAUCAUACUCUAUAACAUGCAUCCAAUUUUCAUAUGCCUUCUUCACCAAUUCAUCCACAUAAACCUUCUGGUCAUCAGAAAGAGAGUCUGCUGAGAGGUACUCUCCAUUUGCAAUUAAGCCACUUAACUCAUAUAUAUUGUUGAAAACAACACCAACAUUCUUUGCAUCAUCAGGAUAGUACACAUAAAGUUUCCCACUCAGAACACAUGUCUUUGCAUGCUCUACCAGAACAUCCCACAUCUUAUUCGACAUGCCACUUCCAAGAAUAUUCCGCAAUCUCUGAGAGUCUCUAACCACAAGUCUUAAGAAGUCUUCAACAGUAAAUAUCCCAGACUUGUUCAGCCUCUUGUGGAAAGAUCCAUCCUUGCCAAUCUUCUCCAAUCUCCAAACCUCAUCAGUUAGUGCAGGCGGAUAGUGUUUCUUGUAUAAUUCUCCUCGAUGAUCUUUGACAGUGAAGGCAUCAGUUUUUGCUUCACGAAUACGAAUCCCUUCACAACAUCCUGAGGCAACCUUCAAACCCAGCCUAAACUUCCUGCUUCUUAUCCAACUUGAGUUGUCAGUAAACGUCAGCUCACCUAGAGUUCCUACACCGUCUUUUAAUGUCACUUGCAGAUCCCCAGUUAGAAGUGGCCUCUUGCCCUCACGCUCCUUAACUACAUGAGACUCAAAUUCUUCUUGAGUCCAGUUAUCAUCAUCUUCAUUAUUAAAAUCACCUUCAAGAACAAUGACAUCCAGUUUCACUGCAGAUUCAGGACCUGAUGUGACAACAUGGCCUGUGUUUGCAUCAAUCAACACAAUGAGGAUUGCAGCACCCUGUUCCCCUUCUACUUUCCCACCAGUAAAGAGAGGGAGGGACAACCUGGACCUGAAGUGCAGCUGCAAGUUUUUUCCGUCAGGCCCUCCUAUACAUUUAGGAGAAGACCUUCCGGUAAGUUUGGUAGGGCCUAAUUUUGCUAAAGCACGCUCCACUUCCUCACUAACAACUCUCCGAAGGAUAGGCUCCAAAGAUGAGCAAAGUUUCUGCAGACUAUCCACCUUGAGAGCUUCAACAAUUACACUAGCUAAGGCCGGUCGUUUUCUAUCAGGUUGGCCUUCGUCACCAGAACUGGAAUCCAGACCUCUCUUCUCUCUCGCCAUACUAGUCGAUCUCUCCGUGAACCUCGUUUGCAUCUUCACCAAGAAACCAACAUACACCAACCCGUUUGGUUCCCAAGAGAAAGAAAAACAAAAUAGAGGAUUUAUUUCACGAUCCCAAUUUCCAAAUUCAAACCAAGAAUAAGAAAAAGGGGAAAGAAUCAAAGAAAGCUUUAUCUUUUAUGAGAAUUGAGUGAUAAAG